UGUACUCACCGCCCGUCACACCAUGGGAGUUGUGUUUGCCUUAAGUCAGGAUGCUAAAUUAGCUACUGCCCACGGCACACACAGCGACUGGGGUGAAGUCGUAACAAGGUAACCGUAGGUGAACCUGCGGUUGGAUCACCUCCUUUCUAGA
rnacentral:rRNA from 1 species